AAAGCUGAGAAGAACAGAAAUGUUGAUCAAGACAGCCCAGAAGGUUGAAUACUGACUUUCAUGGAGUCAUAUACACAGCAUUAGAGGAAAAAACACAAAAGGAGUAAUAAAAGAGUCAGACAGCCUGGAAAUGGCUCCUUGAUGAGAUGCCUACCACAAAGAGAGAUGAAAAAGGAACAACACCUGGACAGCUGAGAACAUUAAGGCUCCUGAUACUUGACAGCUACUCUCCAGCAUCAUGCAUUUUAUUUUUAGUUCAAGUAUUUUUUAUGGUGACAGAGAAGAACUAAAACUGUACCAUCAGCAUGUGAUCAGCCACAUAUGGUAAUAAGUCCUUAUCAGCAGGCCUCUUAAAAAGAACCAAGAAGAGAACCACCAGAGGCCUGAGGUCUGCCCACAGGAUAUCCGGAUCCCAGCCCGACCAGAUUCAACCCACACAGAGACUGCCAGCUUCCAAGACCCAUCCUCCACCCACUGGACUG